ensembl:lncRNA uncharacterized LOC115022693
GUCUGAAAGUCUGUGAAACCACUUGUUCAAGAUCAAUUGGCACUUACGUGUAUGGAUAAAAACUAAUUUGAAGGAUUUUUUUCUCUUCAAGACAUGAUCAAACAAGAUCUUUAGGACUGAAGGAUUGAUGCGCAAAAAGGGCCUGAUUCCGCUUUUACCUUUCAGCAUUGCAACAUGGCACACAUCUCUACCAUAUUUUUAGUCUGUGUAACAGCUUUACUCAGUGGAGCUGCGAGCGUAUCUGAGAUGUGCCGGGGGACGCGCUGUUUCUCUGGCCAGGACUGGAGCAGACCGUGCGUUGGAGCGCACUGCCAGGGGCGCGCGGAGGCAGUGGCGCCCCGACGACAGAUUCACCACUCUGCACAAUCCAGACAAGGACAAGUGUACCCGAGUUAUCAACAGGAUGCUCGUUUCAGUCAUCACCAAGCCCAGAGCGCGCCGUUAGCUCCGUACACCAUCAUCCAACCUCAGCAGGGAGGCUUUAAGCAACUAGCGGGGACUGAUGGCACUAGGAGGACGAACCCGAGAACCAUUACGGCGGAGGUGUUCCAUCCUGGCUGCGCCGGUGGGACCUGUCCGACCACUGUCUCUCAUCGCCCGACCAGCGAUGACGGUGCAACGCGGGAGUGCAAAGGGAUUGGAUGUAAACUUCCCCUACGGAUGCGCCAGAAGCCCAAGCCUUGCGUCGGAGAAGGUUGCGGUACGCAUGGAGGAGACGACGGAAGAGGACACUCGUCACCGGUACAUGUGACAGACAGAGCAGCGCAAUUUCUAGAUGAACUUCCAGACGUUGGGUCGGAACGUGGUGCAUGGAUACAGUUGACAUGUGACAUGAAACCAGGCAACAAUGAGCUUCCCUCGGAGGAUGCUCUUGUGCUGCAGCUGCAGCUGUCUAAAAGCCAGGAGAAGCUGGUUGAGGCCCUCAGGGGCCAGCAGGACGAGGUCAGGGAGCUGCAAAGGCUCCUCAGUGAGCAGCAGGGGACGCUGGUCAACCAGCAGAGAGAAAUACUGGAACAACAGAGGAGGAUGUACGAACAGAUGGAGCAAGUUAAAGCCCAGUACAGCAUAAUGAUGGACAGCAUCAAACAAACAUCUUUCCAGAACCUCCAGGGGGAGCUCGACAGUCAGAUGGAAACCAUGAGCGGGCAGGUUAGAGCCCACCAAGCACAGCAGGCUCUCUCUCUGCAUAAGGUGGACAUGGAGGCAAGCGUGAUGGAGGUGGGGCGCUCCCUGAUGGCCUGUGAGAGCUGCGGUCCUGAGGAGUACUGCAGCUUCAGCAGCGGUCAUCCUCGCUGUGAAAAAUGUACCGUCUGUCCUGCCGGGUUCUUCCUGGUUGCACAGUGUUCAGUCCAUGCAGACAGAAUCUGCCAGGACAGAGAUGAAUGCCUUGAAUUAUCUGAUCUGUGUGGAGAUCCACAGAAUUGUCUCAAUACUCCAGGUGGAUUCAGGUGCCAGAGCAUGACAGAGCGAGACGGUAACUCAGGAAUGUGUGGCCAUGGCUACUUUUUCAACUCGGACAUGGAUGAGUGUCAGGCCUGCAAUGAGUGUGAUGGAGAGCCCGUGGCUUCUCCUUGUACCUUCACUACUGACGCCAUCUGCUCUGGCCCUGCUCCGGCUAGUGACAGUGCGCUCUCUUUGUCCUGGUCCGGAGAUGUGAGUCUGCCUGGCGCAAAAGACAACAUACUGGCUCACGCCUUCCCUAGCGUCCAGCUUCAAAUUCAGGGAAGAGGCGACGCAGGCCUGCUGUCUGCUGAGGAAGGUCGGCUGGUGCUCAGGCAGCAUGGUCUGGUUUGGCUGGAUGAGAAUCUCUCGGUGAGCCAUGGCUGCCGUAGCUUCAUCCAGUUGUGCCUGCGUAUGAACAACACAGAUGGCUCUGAAGGUCGUGACCUCAGUGGCGUAAGGAUCGAGCAGCGGGAGGAAAGGUCGCUCCAGAGCGUCAGCAUCAGUGGGGUAGCAGAAGUCGCCCCAGGUAACAUGAUCUCCAUCUUCCUCCGGAGCACCAGCAAUCACUGUAACCAAAGCAGUGAAGGUCUGCAAAUGUACGACUCUUUAGCAGCUCCACUCAGUCUAUUCUGGCUCUCGCAUGACACCGGGGCUGUUGCCAUGACAGCACAGGCCAUGGUCUCCGCACACUACCAUACAAACUAUCGCCCGGUUUUUCGCACCACCUCCACCUCUGACCCUUACGUAGUGGGGCUGACUCAUGAUGGCCGUGGGAUCCGUUUUGCAGAAAGUGGCACCAUACGUUUUGUAUUUCAGCAGGCGUUGUACUCCAUGGGCCAGGCGUGUGUAAGUGAGGGCUUCCAACUGUUGGCGUACCUCAACCAUAAUGGAACCGGCUUGGAGCUUUGCCGUUCCUUCAAACCAGGCGUCCACUAUCGAGACACAUCCUUAACUCUGUCUGGAGCGGCUAAAGUUGGCUCUGGGGACACACUGGCCUUUGAGAUCCUCUCUCCUGCCCAGUGCAACGUACGUUUCUUUGGAGACGAGACAGGCAUCAGUAUCCUCAGCUUGGUUUGGGUCCCCGCUGCUCUGUCUUCCUCUCUUUCUGCGUCCGUGUCUCACACCGGCCUACCCUCAGGAGCAAUCCGAAACAAGCCACUGUUCUUCCGCCAGACCAGCGCUCAGGUGACUCAGAUGGGGCUGCUGGGGAAGGGAUCCACAGAUCAGAGGCGAGAUUUUGUCUUCAGGGAGAGCGGCACAGCCAGUGUGGCUUUGGAUCUCAAACUCAUUCACUCCUGCAACCUGGUCAAGGUGACUCUUCUAAGACGAAAUGAUCCGCAGGGGUCAGGAGGAGGCCGGGAGGCAGAGGGAGCGCGACCCGUCCCUCUGGCCCAACAGGUGGGUGGUCAGAUGCCGGAGGGAAGCCAUUGGGCCAGUGUUAGCCUGCGGGCGUCCUUCCAGGUUCAUAACGGUACAGCGGUGUUCUUCACACUGGACUGUGUACGCGGACGAGUCAACCAGAUCAGCUACCAAACAGGGAGUGGAGUGUCAAUCCUCUGGGUGGCAGCAUAACAUAAGACAGACAAAAUGUAACCAUUUGUAUGGUUUCCAGUUCAGUAGAUGAUAAGCCAUUUAUAUGAUGGUCGAGUUUGAUUGGUUUGAUCUUAGAGGAAUAGGUAGACAUUUUGGGAAAGAGUCUUAUUUGCUUUCUUGCCACGAGAGUAUUGAUACCACUCUCAUAUCUGUCUGUUAAAUGUAAUAUGCAAUGCUAAAGCCAGAAGUAAGCUUAUCUUAGCAUAUAGGGGUGCACAGCUAGUCUGGCUCCCUCAUAUGGUAACAACAUACUGUAUGUCUAUUAGUACAAUUACAAUCUUGGAACUCACCGGCUUUUGGUCUGACGCGAAUAAGCCUCUGGUGGAAAGGCACUAUAUUUCUGGGAUUCCGGUGUAGCCCGCAGUUAUCUCAGCCUUUCUUUUUCCCUACGGUGCUCAUUGUUUACAUUCGGAAUAGCAACUUGAGAUGCGAGACUGGAGUUGAGCGAGAAGACGUGUAAAACCGGAUUGUUUCACAAGUAGCCAGUUUAACAAGAUAACUUUAAACUAAUAAAAAGCGAAAUCGUCUGAUUUGGUCUUUACACGGACUGUCCAUCUGUAUUUAGGGCUGGAUGAAAUGGCCAAAAACUUCUAUCGUGAUAAAGGUCCUUUCAUAUCUCUAUAAUGAUAUAUAUCAGGAUUUAGCAUGCUUUCUGGUAAUUCCAUAAAUAAAAAGUCUAUGUGAAAUAACCUCAAGGUAAAGCCUAUUUUCGUAUACUUCUUUUCUUAAUCAAGCACUUUCCAAAUAAAAAGUAUUAAGUAUUCUCAUUUCAAGAACUUAAAUGCAAAAUUAACAUUAAGUUUAUUUUUUUAUUAUUUCUAUAUGUACACUGUUUGUUAAUCGCAUUGAACUGAAUGGUAAUGGAUGUGUGAUGUAAAAACAAAAUCACAUUCUCUCAAAAUAUUUCAUGUUUCUGAGAAAUGUCAGUUUGUACGUGUUCAUCCUGAUACAACUCCAUUGAUAGAUGAUACAUGAUGAUAUUCAAUUCUUGCCCAAGCCUACCUGUAUUCAACCAACGCUGGCUCGAACAUAUGAAUGCAGAAUCUUUUUUAUAGAGAUAAGCACAUGAAAAACUCAUCAAUUAAAACGUUAUAUAUUGCUUGUACUUAAAAGUGAAAAUGCAAGAAAUUGUGGUUUCAUGCCAGGCUAGUUUCUUCCCCUUGUGCUAAGCUAAGCUAACGGUCUCCUGGCUGCAGCUUCAUGUUUAAUGAACAGAUAUGAGUGGUAUCUAUGUUCUUAUUUAACUCUCAUAAAUAAAGUGACUAAGCAUAGGCUAUUGCCCAAACGUUGGACUAUUCCUUUAAGCUGUUUGAUUAUGUAGUGAGUAGCUUACAGCUAUAUUUUUUUAUUUUGUGCUUAAAAAAAGAAAGGAAGCUCAAAUAUGGCUUUUAUUUAAAAAGAAAAAAGUAGCAUUAUGCAUUAAUCAUUGUCUUUGUAUCAAUGCAAGUAUUUGUGUAAUGAUUACUACAGAAGUAAAUUAUGGCUCUAAACAAUUUUACAAGCUUUUUAAUGUUUAGAAAUGACUGUACUGCUGUACUUCUGUCUUUUAUUUAUGUAAUUCAGUUACUCUGACGCCAACGAAUCUUCAGCUCAUUCCCACUGUGACUAGCAUUUUCUGCUGUCACCAAAAGCGGUUAGCUGCUGGAGUGUGUUUUUUAAGAGCAUGUGUUUCAUGUUAGCCGCCAUUUUCUAAUGUGAAUAUCUACUGCAUGCCUUGUUUAAUGACCACUUUCUGCAUAUUAUGGACUUUUAAAGAAUGUCAUGUGUUUCACUUAGGGCCUGUUCACAAUAAACUGUCCUGGUGAGACAGCAUGCUAUCCUAAAUAUUAACAUGUUAAGCUAUAGUUACUGUUUACUCAAACUAAGCUGUAAUAAAGUGUAUAUUUGAUGUUUUAUAUUAAAUCCAAUACAAAUAAAAUUGUUUUGCCGGAUAUCUGGCUGCUGCCUCUGUGUAAGGACCAGGAGGAAGCACUG